rnacentral:rRNA from 1 species
UUCUAGAUGUUAAUUAAAUCAAAGAAGGAAACAAUUCAAGUAAUUGAGUUGUUAUUACUUUGAAUAAAAUAAGGUGUUUAAAGCAAAACAUUAUGUUAAUGAAUAUUCAAGCAUGGGACAAUGCUGAGGGGAUGUCAAUAAGACAUUUCGAGAGAAGGAUUAAAAGGAACAAUUGGGGUGAUUCAGAAAAUAACGGGAGAGGUGAAAAUCCAUGAUCGCUAUAAGAUGCACGAGAGCGAAAGCAUUUCACUCAACUGUGUCCAUUAAUCAAGAACGAAAGUUAGGGGAUCGAAGACGAUCAGAUACCGUCGUAGUCCUAACUAUAAACGAUGUCAACCAAGGAUUGGAUGAAAUUCAGAUGUACAAAGAUGAAGAAGCAUUGUUUCUUAAUCUGAGUAUAUCUUAAUUUACCUUA